CCUACGGGAGGCAGCAGUGGGGAAUAUUGCACAAUGGGCGCAAGCCUGAUGCAGCCAUGCCGCGUGUAUGAAGAAGGCCUUCGGGUUGUAAAGUACUUCCAGCGGGGAGGAAGGGAGUAAAGUUAAUACCUUUGCUCAUUGACGUUACCCGCAGAAGAAGCACCGGCUAACUCCGUGCCAGCAGCCGCGGUAAU
rnacentral:rRNA from 1 species